rnacentral:misc_RNA from 1 species
GAUGAAGAACGUAGCAAAAUGCGAUAAGUAAUGUGAAUUGCAGAAUUCAGUGAAUCAUCGAAUCUUUGAACGCACAUUGCGCCCGCUGGUAUUCCGGCGGGCAUGCCUGUUCGAGCGUCAUUUCAACCCUCAAGCCCCCGGGUUUGGUGUUGGGGAUCGGCUCUGCCCUCUGGGCGGUGCCGCCCCCGAAAUACAUUGGCGGUCUCGCUGCAGCCUCCAUUGCGUAGUAGCUAACACCUCGCAACUGGAACGCGGCGCGGCCAUGCCGUAAAACCCCCACUUCUGAAUGUUGACCUCGGAUCAGGUAGGAAUACCCGCUGAACUUAAGCAUAUCAAUAAGCGGAGGA